rnacentral:rRNA from 1 species
GCUUCCACUGAGAAGAUAGUGGCGGACGGGUGAGUAACACGUGGGUAACCUGCCCAUAAGAGGGGGAUAACAUCCGGAAACGGGUGCUAAUACCGCAUAGUUUUCUUGAUCGCAUGAUCGAGAAAGGAAAGACGGCCUUUGUGCUGUCGCUUAUGGAUGGACCCGCGGCGUAUUAGUUAGUUGGUGAGGUAACGGCUCACCAAGACGAUGAUACGUAGCCGACCUGAGAGGGUGAUCGGCCACAUUGGGACUGAGACACGGCCCAAACUCCUACGGGAGGCAGCAGUAGGGAAUCUUCCGCAAUGGACGAAAGUCUGACGGAGCAACGCCGCGUGAGUGAAGAAGGUUUUCGGAUCGUAAAACUCUGUUGUCAGAGAAGAACAAGUCGGAGAGUAACUGCUCCGGCCUUGACGGUAUCUGACCAGAAAGCCACGGCUAACUACGUGCCAGCAGCCGCGGUAAUACGUAGGUGGCAAGCGUUGUCCGGAUUUAUUGGGCGUAAAGCGAGCGCAGGCGGUUCCUUAAGUCUGAUGUGAAAGCCCACGGCUC